rnacentral:rRNA from 1 species
UACGAAGGGGGCUAGCGUUGUUCGGAAUCACUGGGCGUAAAGCGCACGCAGGCGGAUCGUUAAGUCAGGGGUGAAAUGCCAAGGCUCAACCUCGGAACUGCCUUUGAUACUGGCGAUCUUAGAGUCCGGGAGAGGUGAGUGGGACUCCGAGUGUAGAGGUGAAAUUCGUAGAUAUUCGCAAGAACACCAGUGGCGAAGGCGGCUCACUGGCCCGGUACUGACGCUGAGGUGCGAAAGCGUGGGGAGCAAACAGG